UACGUAGGGGGCAAGCGUUGUCCGGAUUUAUUGGGCGUAAAGCGCGCGUAGGCGGCGCGGUAUGUCGUGCGUGAAAUCUCCCGGCUUAACUGGGAGGGGCCGUGCGAAACUGCCGGGGCUUGAGGUCGGAAGGGGAAAGUGGAAUUCCGGGUGUAGUGGUGGGAAUACGUAGAUAUCCGGAGGAACACCAGCGGCGAAGGCGACUUCCUGGCCUGUUCUUGACGCUGAGGCGCGAAAGCUAGGGGAGCAAACGGG
rnacentral:rRNA from 1 species